rnacentral:piRNA from 1 species
UGAACCAGUUGAGACCACUUGGCCUGUGCA